AACGAACGCUGGCGGCAGGCCUAACACAUAAAAGUCGAGCGAAGCCUUCGGGCUUAGCGGCGGACGGGUGAGUAACGCGUGGGAACGUGCGCUGUGGUACGGAAUAGCACCGGGAAACUGGGAGUAAGACGGACUGUGGUAGAGAGACGAAAGAUUUAUCGCCAAGGGAUCGGCCCGCGGUGGAUUAGGUAGUUGGUGGGGUAAUGGCCUACCAAGCCGGCGAUCCAUCGCUGGGUUGAGAGGAUGAUCAGCCACACGGGGACUGAGAAACGGCCCAGACUCCUACGGGAGGCAGCAGUGGGGAAUCCUAGACAAUGGGGGAAACCCUGAUCUAGCCAUGCCGCGUGAUCGAUGAAGGCCUUAGGGUUGUAAAGAUCUUUCAGUGGGGAAGAUAAUGACUGUACCCACAGAAGAAGCCCCGGCUAACUCCGUGCCAGCAGCCGCCGUAAAAC
rnacentral:rRNA from 1 species